CUCACCGUGAUAGUCUGAAGAUCGGCAUGUCGCUUUCGUGGCAAAUCUUCUAAAUCAAGGUAGCUCGUUUGCGUCAAGUUUCGCAGAAGACGAAGGAAUACCAUUGAGUACGCUGAAGGGGCAAAACAAUUUAUGAAUGCAAUAUUAAAAUCUUUGGGUUAUCGUCUGAGAUUUUAUAUCCGUGCAUCGAUUGUCGCAAUGUCAGUCAUCAACCAGGUCUUGUUUGUUCAACUGACCCAAAUGAUCGAGUACACUUCAUCCCUUUAGGUCUUGACGUUACAAAGGUUUGGGUACUGACGUUACGAAGGUUUGGGUACUGACGCUACGAAGGUUUGGGUAGAUGAUCUACCCUGCCCAUUAAUACAUAAACACAAUCUAAUUUUUUAAAUGUAACCAGACACGAACAACACAAUCUAAUUCUUUAAACGUAACCAGUCACAAACAACACAAUCAAACAACACAAUCUAACAACACAGUCUAACUCCUUUCAGCACAAAGUUCUCUAAACGUGAAGAGGAAAAGGGGAGUGCGAGACAAUUAUAAUCCAACAUGAACACAUAAAAAAUCACUUUUUCGAAGUGAGAGAGAUUAAAGAAAAAACCCAUGAAACCAAAUGAAUCAUAGAACACAGAACAAAUCCCAAAAAUACAGAACAAACCGGAUGAACUCGUUUGGCCGUAGAUGUAUCGAAGAUUGGUGAUGCUCCUGUGUGGAGACCAAAUUCUGAAGUCGAGUGUCUUGCUGAUACUAUAUGUACGACGGUUGCUUGGCCUAAUGACAAGCUUAAGUUAUUGUGAUACACGCACUUGUUAAAGCUUCAUGUUUUGUGUGCUUUUUAGAACUUAUUUAUUAAAACUUCUAGGUGUUGUGUUAGUGUGUGAUAACUAUUGGUAUCAGUACGUUUGUAAUAUAAUGAUCCUUUUUUUUUUGUAAUAUAAUGAUUGCGUGUGUGUGUGUGUUUUUUUUUUCCUACGAGUAUGUGUGUUU